UUGGCAGAACUCUCAUGUUCUGUGGCUGCAUCCCUCAAUACAGGCUCUGAAAAACAUUGUCACAUUGGCUGCCACCCCAGAGCCAUAGAGGCCUACAAAGAUGUCAUGGGGGAAAGCAAAGAUGAACUCUGUGGGAAAAGUGUUGCUUCUGUUCUACUCAGUGUGUUGGCAUAGUAACAGCGGAGCUUAUCAACAACAGGCGGGUUUUGUUUUAGAAAAGAUAUUAACGGUAGCUAGCAAGCAGGCUAUCAAAGGAAUAUUAGCUAGCUGAUGGAGAUCAAAUGGCUGAUAAACGUGGUUUGGAGAAACUGGACUUUGGUGCAUCGAGCAACAGCAGCAACUCUGACAAUUUAAGAUUACUUCACUGACCCAAACCUUUGAUCAUUGGCUCCAAAACUGCAGGGCGACCCUGCCGACACAGGCACAGACUGAAUCCUUACCGGUUUGUUCGGCAGUUCAACUGUUAUUGAAGUGUAAAGCUGUAACAAGUCUCUUUCUCUGUGUUCUGUACAUCCUCUGUAUUGACUAGUUAUGUGUCAAAGUAACAUGAUACAAAUAUAAAACAUUAUAUAAAGUGGGAAUGUACUGGCACCCAGGCAGACGUUCUUGCUGAGCAUCAUUUACAACAGGUUAGUUACAGGGCUAAAGGAGGAUGUUUUAUACCGCUGGUUGAGAGGAAGAUAUAGAUUUCUAGGCCUAUAGGGUGGAGUGGACAGCCUCUUUACAGGAAUUCUCAGGGAAAAGUCUAAACGGGAUCAUUGGGACGUCCCAACUCUGACGUUAAGCCAUUGAAGUUGAAAUAUAAAACGGUUAAGGUUAGGGAUGUCCCAAGGAUUCCGGAUAGCACUAACCGUUUUCUCAAGCCUCAGAGUUCACCCUUCUGGACUCCUAUGUACUUCCACUAACUCCCCAACUCAUCAGAUGAAACAAAAAACAUUAAGCAAGAUGAGACAAUGUGACCGCAGCAAUACUGACCAUAACUUUAGAAUGAUCUGCCCACACUGGAUACACAGUUUCAAUGUUUAAUGAAUUAAAAAUCAUCAAGUAACCAGCGCAUCAGGCUUUGCUUUAAAAACAUACAUAGCACAGUAAAAACAGGUAAAUUCCAUCUGUCACAAAGCAUGACAAUAAAUCAUUCAUAAUUCUGUUUGAUUCACAUUUUAUAAUCUGACACGCUACAAAAAUAGGCACAUCUGGUUUAACAAUUAAGUGAUUGUAUAGAGAAGAAGACCCUGAAAUUGUAUAAAAACCUUGACCCUGACAAUAUUGGACAUUCCA